rnacentral:rRNA from 1 species
AGAGUUUGAUCAUGGCUCAGAUUGAACGCUGGCGGUAGGCUUAACACAUGCAAGUCGAACGUGAAAGCUCUUCGGAGUGAGUAGAGUGGCGGACGGGUGAGUAACGCGUAGGAAUCUACCUAGUAGUGGGGGACAACCUGGUGAAAACCAGGCUAAUACCGCAUACGCCCUACGGGGGAAAGCGGGGGAUCUUCGGACCUCGCGCUAUUAGAUGAGCCUGCGUAAGAUUAGCUAGUUGGUGGGGUAAAGGCCUACCAAGGCGACGAUCUUUAGCUGGUCUGAGAGGAUGAUCAGCCACACUGGGACUGAGACACGGCCCAGACUCCUACGGGAGGCAGCAGUGGGAAUAUUGCGCAAUGGGGGAAACCCUGACGCCAGCCAUGCCGCGUGUGUGAAGAAGGCCUUCGGGUUGUAAAGCACUUUCAGCGAGGAGGAAAGGUUGGCGAUUAAUACUCGUCAGCUGUGACGUUACUCGCAGAAGAAGCACCGGCUAACUCCGUGCCAGCAGCCGCGGUAAUACGGAGGGUGCAAGCGUUAAUCGGAAUUACUGGGCGUAAAGCGCGCGUAGGUGGUCAAGUCAGUCAACUGUGAAAGCCCUGGGCUCAACCUGGGAACUGCAGCUGAUACUGCUUGACUCGAGUAUGGUAGAGGGGUGUGGAAUUUCCUGUGUAGCGGUGAAAUGCGUAGAUAUAGGAAGGAACACCAGUGGCGAAGGCGACACCCUGGACCAAUACUGACACUGAGGUGCGAAAGCGUGGGUAGCAAACAGGAUUAGAUACCCUGGUAGUCCACGCCGUAAACGAUGUCUACUAGCCGUUGGAAUCCUUAGAGGUUUUAGUGGCGCAGCUAACGCAAUAAGUAGACCGCCUGGGGAGUACGGCCGCAAGGCUAAAACUCAAAUGAAUUGACGGGGGCCCGCACAAGCGGUGGAGCAUGUGGUUUAAUUCGACGCAACGCGAAGAACCUUACCUACUCUUGACAUCCUCGGAACUCGGCAGAGAUGCCUUGGUGCCUUCGGGAACCGAGUGACAGGUGCUGCAUGGCUGUCGUCAGCUCGUGUCGUGAGAUGUUGGGUUAAGUCCCGUAACGAGCGCAACCCUUGUCCUUAUUUGCCAGCGGUUCGGCCGGGAACUCUAAGGAGACUGCCGGUGAUAAACCGGAGGAAGGUGGGGAUGACGUCAAGUCAUCAUGGCCCUUAUGGGCAGGGCUACACACGUGCUACAAUGGCCGGUACAGAGGGUUGCCAACCAGCGAUGUGGAGCCAAUCCCAGAAAGCCGAUCGUAGUCCGGAUUGCAGUCUGCAACUCAACUGCAUGAAGUUGGAAUCGCUAGUAAUCGCGAAUCAGCAUGUCGCGGUGAAUACGUUCCCGGGCCUUGUACACACCGCCCGUCACACCAUGGGAGUUGGUUGCACCAGAAGUGGGUAGACUAACCUUCGGGAGGUCGCUCACCACGGUGUGGUCAAUGACUGGGGUGAAGUCGUAACAAGGUA